rnacentral:tRNA from 1 species
AUUUAAAUAGCUUAUAAAUAAGAGCAUAGUAUUGAAGAUACUAAGGAAAUAGAAAUUAUUUUUAAAUA